rnacentral:lncRNA from 1 species
AGUUAGCUUUAUGAAGACACAGUGGCCUCUGUGGGGACAUGGGAUAUGCAGAAAGAGAUGGCUAGUACAGUUGUUCUGUCUUCUGCAGUUCAGUCAGGGACAUAUUGAGAGAGGAAAGUUUAAGCAGGUACAUUAGAAAUUGAUAACCAGCCCAGCAUUCUUAGAACAGAUGGGUUUAGAGAACACGAGUUGUAGUUCCUUGGCAGAAUGCCAUGGUGGAUAUGAGAAACUGUGAACUGUGUUGAAAUUGAGCUUGAGCAGAAAAUGAGAAUACUAAAAAUUUGAAGUUCAGAGGGUAUGCAUUAGAUUAUUUCUAAUGGUCCCCAUAUAUGAUCAUUGCCUGCCUGACUAUAUGACUCCUGUUGGGAGCUUGAGAAUAGAUUGCU